rnacentral:lncRNA from 10 species
GAAAGAGGUGGCAUCGGCGGUUCAAGACUGAGUUUUCUAUCUCUUCAGUGCCUCUUUCAACAAUGAAGAUCAAACCAGGUUUUGUGCAAAUAUCUGCUGAGUGAACUACUUAUUUGAAAAUACAUCAUUGGUUAAUAUUCCCUUUUGCUCAUUGAAAUCUCAAAGACUACAGACCCCGCACAAGACAUUCUGACAUUCCCGUCUUUGAAAUGAAUGACAGCAAUGAUAAAUAUGGCUCACCUCCAGAGAUACAGAUCUCACAACUUCAUAUUUUUAAUAUAAAUUAUUAAUCUGAGGUGUGGUGCAAUUCCAUUAGAUGAAAGAGAUCUACACAUUCAGAAGCACAUGAUUCUUCCCCCUUCCAUGAUUCCAGUGGCCAAUAGGUAAUCAGAACUUCUCUGUUCAGCUAAAAGACAGAAAAAGAGCAUAUGAAAGACGUAUUUUCCCAGAAGUGCUCAUCCUGAUAACUGUGUACAGCACUACUGCUCAUAUUCCAUUGGCCAAUAUUUAGGUAGAUAACUUCACUAACUACAAGGUAUGCUGGGAAAUAAAGUCCAGAUAUGUGUGA